rnacentral:rRNA from 1 species
GACGAACGCUGGCGGCGUGCUUAACACAUGCAAGUCGAACGAGGUCCACCGCGUAGCAAUACAAGGGAAGACCUAGUGGCGAACGGGUGCGUAACACGUGAGGAACUUGUCCCGGUCUCUGGGAUAACAGUUGGAAACGACUGCUAAUACCGGAUGACGUCGGAAUCUCGCAUGGGAUACUGACGAUAGGGUUACUGGAUCGGGAGAGCCUCGCGGCCUAUCAGCUUGUUGGUGAGGUAACGGCUCACCAAGGCAUCGACGGGUAGCUGGUCUGAGAGGAUGAUCAGCCACACUGGGACUGAGACACGGCCCAGACUCCUACGGGAGGCAGCAGUGGGGAAUCUUGCGCAAUGGGCGAAAGCCUGACGCAGCAACGCCGCGUGCGGGAAGAAGGCCCUCGGGUUGUAAACCGGCUUUCAGAAGGAACGAAAAUAGACGGU